CGAACGGGUGAGUAACGCGUGAGGAACCUGCCUCAAAGAGGGGACGAACAGUUGGAAACGACUGCUAAUACCGCAUAAGCCCACGGGUCGGCAUCGAUCUGAGGGAAAAGGAGUGAUCCGCUUUGAGAUGGCCUCGCGUCCGAUUAGCUAGUUGGUGAGGUAACGGCCCACCAAGGCGACGAUCGGUAGCCGGACUGAGAGGUUGAACGGCCACAUUGGGACUGAGACACGGCCCAG
rnacentral:rRNA from 1 species